AGUAAGGUAAGCUAAAUAAGCUGUUGGGCCCAUACCCCAAAAAUGAAGGUUAAACUCCUUCUUUUACUA
rnacentral:tRNA from 1 species